AAUGAACGUUGGCGGCAUGGAUUAGGCAUGCAAGUCGAGCGAGAAGGAUUUCAAAGUUUACUUUGGAAUCUGGAAAGCGGCGCAAGGGAGAGUAACGCGUAGUUAUCUACCCCAAGGCCCGGAAUAGCUGCAGGAAACUGCAGGUAAUGCCGGAUAAUAUCCCCGGAUCAAAGGUGUGAUUCCGCCUUGGGAGGAGACUGCGUUGUACUAGCUUGUUGGUAGGGUAAUGGCCUACCAAGGCUACGAUGCAUAGCGGGCGUGAGAGCGUGGCCCGUCUCACUGGGACUGAAACACUGCCCAGACACCUACGGGUGGCUGCAGUCGAGAAUCUUCGGCAAUGGGCGAAAGCCUGACCGAGCAAUGCCGCGUGCGGGAUGAAGGCCCUCGGGUUGUAAACCGCUGUCGUAGGGGAGAAAGGUCUCAUGAAGAAUGAGAUUUGAUCUAUCCUAGGAGGAAGUCCGGGCUAAGUUCGUGCCAGCAGCCGCGGUAAUAC
rnacentral:rRNA from 1 species